UGUGAACUCACUGGUUGAAUCAGCUCGACUC
rnacentral:piRNA from 1 species